AUUGAACGCUGGCGGCAGGCCUAACACAUGCAAGUCGAACGAGUCGCGGUCGGGUGAGUAAUGUCUGGGAAACUGCCUGAUGGAGGGGGAUAACUACUGGAAACGGUAGCUAAUAACGCAUACAAGCGGCUGUGUCCAGUUGGGAUGAGCUAGUAGGUGGGGUAAAGGCUCACCUAGGCCACGAUCCCUAGCUGGUCUGAGAGGAGGACCAGUCACACUGGAACUGAGACACGGUCCAGACGCCUACGGGAGGCAGCAGUGGGGAAUAUUGCACAAUGGGCGAAAGCCUGAUGCAGCCAUGCCGCGUGUAUGAAGAAGGCCUUCGGGUUGUAAAGUACUUUCAGCGGGGAGGCGUUACCCGCAGAAGAAGCACCGGCUAACUCCGUGCCAGCAGCCGCGGUAAUAC
rnacentral:rRNA from 1 species